rnacentral:tRNA from 1 species
GGGCGGGUAGCUUAGGUUGGUUGGAGCACCCGGCUGAUAACCGGGAGGUCGCAGGUUCAAAUCCUGCUUCGCCCA